UACGUAGGGUGCAGGCGUUAAUCGGAAUUACUGGGCGUAAAGCGUGCGCAGGCGGUUUUGUAAGCCGGAUGUGAAAUCCCCGGGCUUAACCUGGGAAUGGCAUUCGGGACUGCAAGGCUGGAGUGCGGCAGAGGAGACUGGAAUUCCUGGUGUAGCAGUGAAAUGCGUAGAUAUCAGGAGGAACACCGAUGGCGAAGGCAGGUCUCUGGGCUGACACUGACGCUCAUGCACGAAAGCGUGGGGAGCAAACAGG
rnacentral:rRNA from 1 species